rnacentral:tRNA from 1 species
CAGGAAGUAGCUCAGUUUGGUAGAGUGUCUGGUUUGGAGCCAGGGGGUCGAAGGUUCGAAUCCUUCCUUCCUGA